AAUAGAUACCCUGGGUAGUCCACGCCGUAAACGAUGAGUGCUAAGUGUUAGAGGGUUUCCGCCCUUUAGUGCUGAAGUUAACGCAUUAAGCACUCCGCCUGGGGAGUACGGCCGCAAGGCUGAAACUCAAAGGAAUUGACGGGGGCCCGCACAAGCGGUGGAGCAUGUGGUUUAAUUCGAAGCAACGCGAAGAACCUUACCAGGUCUUGACAUCCUCUGACAACCCUAGAGAUAGGGCUUCUCCUUCGGGAGCAGAGUGACAGGUGGUGCAUGGUUGUCGUCAGCUCGUGUCGUGAGAUGUUGGGUUAAGUCCCGCAACGAGCGCAACCCUUGAUCUUAGUUGCCAUCAUUUAGUUGGGCACUCUAAGGUGACUGCCGGUGACAAACCGGAGGAAGGUGGGGAUGACGUCAAAUCAUCAUGCCCCUUAUGACCUGGGCUACACACGUGCUACAAUGGACGGUACAAAGAGCUGCAAGACCGCGAGGUGGAGCUAAUCUCAUAAAACCGUUCUCAGUUCAGA
rnacentral:rRNA from 1 species